rnacentral:rRNA from 1 species
CGAACGGGUGAGUAACGCGUGAGGAACCUGCCUCAAAGAGGGGGACAACAGUUGGAAACGACUGCUAAUACCGCAUAAGCCCACAGCUCGGCAUCGAGCAGAGGGAAAAGGAGUGAUCCGCUUUGAGAUGGCCUCGCGUCCGAUUAGCUGGUUGGUGAGGUAACGGCCCACCAAGGCGACGAUCGGUAGCCGGACUGAGAGGUUGAACGGCCACAUUGGGACUGAGACACGGCCCAGACUCCUACGGGAGGCAGCAUG